AGCCCUUGGAGCUGAGCCAGCGAGAGGCUGUGCCAUAACCUGGAAGGAAACGACCGUCAUCGGGAAUAAACUUCCUGGGUUGCUGUGGGGCCGGGGCAGCGCGGAAGCGAAGUGGCAGCAGGGGAGAGAUGGGAUUGAGCAGCAGGCUCUAGCUGAGGCUCAGGCUUCCUUGGAAUGAUGCCAUCACGUACAAACCUGACUGCUGGGAUUCCCAGUAGCAAAGUCAAAUAUUCCAAGCUCUCCAGCACUGAUGAUGGAUAUAUUGACCUGCAGUUCAAGAAGAGCCCACCAAAAAUCCCCUACAAGGCAAUUGCAUUGGCCGUCGUGCUCUUCAUGAUCGGGACCUUCCUCAUUAUCAUAGGAGCCCUCCUCCUGGCUGGAUACAUUAGCAAAGGCGGAACAGACCGUGCUAUCCCCGUGCUCAUCAUUGGGAUCCUCGUGUUCCUCCCAGGCUUCUACCACCUGCGCAUUGCUUACUACGCCUCCAAAGGCUACCGGGGCUACUCCUACGACGACAUCCCGGAUUUCGAUGACUGAGCAGUGGAUGUAACCCCCUUGUUCUUAGGUUGGCACUAAGAGCUGUUAGUUACCCUGGCGAUCAGAGAGGGCUGUAGCUGAAGUUAAUCGCUCAUGAGACACCAGUUCCUGGUGUUGCAGGUUUCAGGAUUCACCAUCAGAUCUCGGUGUGCACUAAAAGCUGCUUGGGACAGCCAGAUUAAGGCUUUAGCUGAAUCUGCUGUUGCAGUCCCUGCAGGCUUUGCUGAGCCAGCAGCUUCCAACAGCUCCAUGUGCUCUCCAGGACCCUGGGCUGAGCUGGGGAGCUGGGAUUACCCUCCCAGCAAUCCAGGGUGCUUUGGUAUGGCUGGAGAAUGUGCUGCUUCAGGAGGGCAGGAUCCGCUUUCUGAACCUCAGGUGCAGUCCUUAUUAAACGUGCAAAGACCCCAGGUUGCAAUUGCUUUGGUUUGGGGUCCAAACACCCCGUUCCUUUUGCUGUGUGAUGUAGUAGGAGCAGUGUCUGGAUACAGCUUUGCAGGCUGGUCCUGGCUUUCCAGAACUGUCAGGUUUGCCUCAUAUUGACUGAUGGAAGAGCAGUAUCGCUGUGAGUGCAGAGCAGGUCUGUGGAGCUGUUGAGAUGGGAACAGCGCUGGAUGAACACCUUGCUCUGAAAGUACUCCUAAAAUUGCCUGUUUUCCUCCUCCAACGUUCUAGAUUAAACCCAAAACCUGAGCCAAGACCUUUUUUUAACCUCCAUCUCUUCCCCUCCUUUGACUGGAUUGGUUUGUGUGUGUCCCAGUGUUGAAUCCUGAGGAAUAACUGAAUCCAGGAUCUCCCUUUCUCACUCUGCACGUUCUCUGCUGCGUCACACCAGCCCUGUCGCGUUCCUGACGCUUCCCAGAUGUUGUCACAUCGUGCCUGGCAGCAGCUGAAACGUGUCCAUUAAAGCUGGGUCUGGCCAGGAGAGCGGCUGCUGACGCAAAGCCAUGAAUCAGCCUCUAUUAGGGGACAAGAAUAUGGGUUUUGGGAAAGGGGAGAGGAAGUGGAAGGGAAGUUUAGAUGGAAAAAGAAAAGGGGGAGGGAGAAGAUGCUUUCAAGUGGGGCUGAUAAGAUGCAGGAAGUUUAGAAGCCUGGUGGUCAACUAAGAAGAAGUAAAUGCUUAAGGAUAACAAAAAGGGGACUGGAGGAAAGGGCAUUCAUUCAUUUCUCUUUCAUUUGACAGAAGCAAAGGCCUCUGGCAGUGCAGUG